GGCUCAUUGGUCUCGCGGUAUAAUUCUCGCUUUGGGUGUGAGAGGUCCCAGGUUCAAAUCCUGGAUGAGCCC
rfam:Danio rerio chromosome 4, GRCz11 reference primary assembly.